CCUCUUGCCUCUUGCUAUUUCC
rnacentral:siRNA from 1 species